rnacentral:lncRNA from 10 species
GUCUUGGGAAAGAUUUCCUGACCCUUACAAGAGACCCCAGGAAACCACAGCCUCUUCCUUCUGGAUGUUGUCAAGUGUGGGUGAGACGCCAGGAGCAGGGGCAGUCAUUUAGCCACCUGCUGGAGGAUGAAGGUCAAAGAAGAGGGCAGCGUCGGGAGAAUCACAGAGAAAUGGGCUCAGAGCCCUGGCACACCAUGCCUGGGGCCACACAGACAUCGCUGGCAAAAUGAUCUGAAUACAUGAGACAGGAAUUGAAUUCUCUUUUCCCACCUGUGAGGACUUAUCUACAAAAACCAUCUACAUUUCUUGGUGGAAAAUCUAGGAGCAAGGGGAAAACAACGUGGGAAACCAACACGAGUGGUUUCCUCUUCAGCCAGAAGUUGAGAUAAAAUGGACUGGAAAGAUACAACUUGGGAAAGGGCUUGGAGAACGAAAGAAUCAGAGUACUUGAUUAAAAUGACCGAGUUCCUUAACUAGGAGAGGAGAAGGCAGAAAGCACACAGGCAAAGCCGGAUCUCCUGGGUGGCACGCCAGGUUGAAUUUAAAGUUCUAUC